rnacentral:rRNA from 1 species
CACGUAGGGUGCGAGCGUUGUCCGGAAUUAUUGGGCGUAAAGAGCUCGUAGGCGGUCUGUCGCGUCUGCUGUGAAAUCCCGAGGCUCAACCUCGGGCUUGCAGUGGGUACGGGCAGGCUAGAGUGCGGUAGGGGAGAAUGGAACUCCUGGUGUAGCGGUGGAAUGCGCAGAUAUCAGGAGGAACACCAAUUGCGAAGGCAGCUCGCUGGGACGUAACCUGACGCUGAGACGCGAAAGCGUGGGGGAGCAAACAGG